GGCUCUGUGGUCCAACGGAACGACAUCAGUGGACACUGGAAACUGUUCCAAGCUGAAGAUAGCGGGUUCGACUCCCGCCAGGGCAA